UGUUUGAUGUUCUAACGUUGGCCCGUAAUCCGGGUUGCGGACAGUGUCUGGUGGGUAGUUUGACUGGGGCGGUCUCCUCCUAAAGAGUAACGGAGGAGCACGAAGGUUGGCUAAUCCUGGUCGGACAUCAGGAGGUUAGUGCAAUGGCAUAAGCCAGCUUGACUGCGAGCGUGACGGCGCGAGCAGGUGCGAAAGCAGGUCAUAGUGAUCCGGUGGUUCUGAAUGGAAGGGCCAUCGCUCAACGGAUAAAAGGUACUCCGGGGAUAACAGGCUGAUACCGCCCAAGAGUUCAUAUCGACGGCGGUGUUUGGCACCUCGAUGUCGGCUCAUCACAUCCUGGGGCUGAAGUAGGUCCCAAGGGUAUGGCUGUUCGCCAUUUAAAGUGGUACGCGAGCUGGGUUUAGAACGUCGUGAGACAGUUCGGUCCCUAUCUGCCGUGGGCGCUGGAGAACUGAGGGGGGCUGCUCCUAGUACGAGAGGACCGGAGUGGACGCAUCACUGGUGUUCGGGUUGUCAUGCCAAUGGCACUGCCCGGUAGCUAAAUGCGGAAGAGAUAAGUGCUGAAAGCAUCUAAGCACGAAACUUGC
rnacentral:rRNA from 1 species